GGAGSGUGCGAGCGUUAUCCGGAAUUACUGGGUUUAAAGGGUGCGUAGGCGGCUUGGUAAGUCAGGAGUGAAAGUUUGCGGCUCAACCGUAAAAUUGCUUUUGAUACUGCCGGGCUGGAAUUAGGAUGAGGUCAGCGGAAUGUGGCAUGUAGCGGUGAAAUGCAUAGAUAUGCCAUAGAACACCUAUUGCGAAGGCAGCUGGCUAGACCUAUAUUGACGCUGAGGCACGAAAGCGUGGGGAGCGAACAGGAUUAGAUACCCUGGUAGUCCACGCCCUAAACGAUGCUUACUCGACGUGCAAGGCUUGUCCUGGUGCGUCCAAGGGAAACCGUUAAGUAAGCCACCUGGGGAGUACGACCGCAAGGUUG
rnacentral:rRNA from 1 species